rnacentral:rRNA from 1 species
GUAGACGAGUUUGAUCAUGGCUCGAGGACGAACGCUGGCGGCGCGCCUAACACAUGCAAGUCGAACGAGCGAGAGAGAGCUUGCUUCUCGAGCGAGUGGCGAACGGGUGAGUAACGCGUGAGGAACCUGCCUCAAAGAGGGGGACAACAGUUGGAAACGACUGCUAAUACCGCAUAAGCCCACGACCCGGCAUCGGGUAGAGGGAAAAGGAGCAAUCCGCUUUGAGAUGGCCUCGCGUCCGAUUAGCUAGUUGGUGAGGUAAUGGCCCACCAAGGCGACGAUCGGUAGCCGGACUGAGAGGUUGAACGGCCACAUUGGGACUGAGACACGGCCCAGACUCCUACGGGAGGCAGCAGUGGGGAAUAUUGCACAAUGGGGGAAACCCUGAUGCAGCGACGCCGCGUGGAGGAAGAAGGUCUUCGGAUUGUAAACCUCUGUUUUCGGUGACGAACAAAUGACGGUAACCGAGUAGGAAGCCACGGCUAACUACGUG